rnacentral:rRNA from 1 species
GAUCCUGGCUCAGGAUGAACGCUAGCUACAGGCUUAACACAUGCAAGUCGAGGGGCAGCAUGGUCUUAGCUUGCUAAGGCUGAUGGCGACCGGCGCACGGGUGAGUAACACGUAUCCAACCUGCCGUCUACUCUUGGCCAGCCUUCUGAAAGGAAGAUUAAUCCAGGAUGGGAUCAUGAGUCCACAUGUCCGCAUGAUUAAAGGUAUUUUCCGUAGACGAUGGGAG